GUUCUGUCUCUUCACAGCAUCUCCAACAGUCGGUUCUCCCGGUCUGCCCUUCUCAAAAUUUGGAACGCGGAUCAGUGGCAACAUCUGGGAGCUUCUUAGAAAUGCAAACUUUCUCAGCCAGUCCCAGUUUCCUCUCAACGCUACCCUUGAACUACAGAAUUAGAAGUUUAGGAGUGGGACCCAGGAAUCCAACUUCCAGUCUCAACUUGGCAGUACAAAUCGAACAAACAAAAACGCUGUGUUCCGGUUUUUUGCAUCUGGAAAUGAACUGACUCCUUCCGUGGUUGGCAGGAGUAGGAAUAAUGCCCAGCACUUAUGGCUCAGGCACAUUGUUCUUGAAGGACUUUCCUUGGACAACAGUUCAGGCUUUACUCUUGCUUCUUCUGGGAUUUCUCCUGCUGGCUGCACCUGGUGUCAUCUGGAAAUGUUGCCGGGAGAAAGAGCAAGAAUGCUGGACCAAAGGCAAAGCAAUCAGAAGACCGAGCCAGUGUGAGUCCAAAGAAGACUAUGGAAGAAGGAUUGGACAGAGGAGAAGGGAGAGGACCAGGAUGAAGAGGAUCAAAGGGAUUUGCAGUUGAGAGAAACUCCGAGAGCUUUGUAAGUCCUGUGCCACCCUCUCCCGUGUGUACGAUCUGAGAGCCUCUCCUGUGCCCUUUCUCUCAUGAGGUUUCUUUGUUCUACUUCAGGCUGGAGAAAAGCCCAGAAAGUGGAUGGUGAGUAAAUGGGAGUUUUUGUUUUUCAUCGAAGACUGCUUCAUUUAAUAGGUGCUUUUAUUCUGAUCCUUUCCUCCGAGGCCUUGCUCACUCUUAACACAAUCUGGACUUAAUGCCUAUAGUCCAGCCACUCUGCUCACACCUCAUGGAUGCCCCAAACGUUUUUCGAAUCUGUGGCCAAAACUGAACUCCAUCUCCUUCCCUGUCAACCUGCCCUUCCUCCUCUAUACCCCUGCUGCAGGUGCUGCCACCACUCACCCGAGUGGGCUCCUUUCUCUCCUCUCUUCGGGGCAACUCCUUUUACUGCUUAGCCCCAGACCCCUUCUCAGGCAGAGACUACAUCUCCCAAUCUUUCUUCUUUUAUCACAGAUCCCUGGUACUAGAUUACCAAGGCCCUUCUCUUAACAGCAAGCUGCUUCCAUUCCCCUAAGAGCUACUGCUGCCCUUUUCCUUUUUAAGACUUUUUGUCUAGGGAGUUCCCUGGUGGCCUAGCGAUUAAGAACCUAGCAUUGUCACUGCUGUGGUUCGACUCCAAUCCCUGGCCUCAGAACUUCCACAUGCUGCUGUUUUUGAAGUUUGUAUCAUUGACCAUAGCCUCCAGUUUGCUAAAACAGAAAUCUGAUUACAUUCCUCUAAAUUCCUAAAACUUCCGCAGCUUCCCAUUGCCUUUUGCUGUCUUAUCAGGAUGGGGAAUGAUAUGGACAUUUGUAAAUUCUAAAAGAAUUUUCAAAUUUUUGUGAAAAAUUGUCUUGGAGUUCCAUUGUGGCUCAGUGGGUUAUGAACCUGGCUAGCAUCCAUGAGGCCUCAUUCAGCUGGUUAAAGAUCUGGCUUAGCGGUGAGUCCUGGUGUAGGUCAUAGCUGCAGCUUUGUUCUCAUGUUGCUCUGGCUAUGGCGUAAGCCUGCGUCUGCAGCUCCAAUUAAACCCGUAGCCUGGGAAUUUCAUAUGCCAUAGGUGCAGCCCUGAAAAGAAAAAAGAAAAA
rnacentral:lncRNA from 9 species